rnacentral:rRNA from 1 species
CCUACGGGCGGCAGCAGUGGGGAAUAUUGGACAAUGGGGGGAACCCUGAUCCAGCCAUGCCGCGUGUGUGAAGAAGGCCCUCGGGUUGGAAAGCACUUUCAGUGAGGAAGAACGCCUGGUGGUUAAUACCCAUCAGGAAAGACAUCACUCACAGAAGAAGCACCGGCUAACUCCGUGCCAGCAGCCGCGGUAAUACGGAGGGUGCGAGCGUUAAUCGGAAUUACUGGGCGUAAAGCGCGCGUAGGUGGCUUGAUAAGCCGGUUGUGAAAGCCCCGGGCUCAACCUGGGAACGGCAUCCGGAACUGUCAAGCUAGAGUGCAGGAGAGGAAGGUAGAAUUCCCGGUGUAGCGGUGAAAUGCGUAGAGAUCGGGAGGAAUACCAGUGGCGAAGGCGGCCUUCUGGACUGACACUGACACUGAGGUGCGAAAGCGUGGGUAGCAAACAGGAUUAGAUACCCGAGUAGUC